rnacentral:lncRNA from 1 species
GACAGACUCCAGCCCUUUUCUGCUUUGGGGGUGCCCUUGGGGGUCCAGGUUCCACCAAAGCAGAGCAAAAAAAAGGCAGAGGAGGAUCUUUCUGUCCCCACGGUUUCUGUGGGUUAGAGGCAGAGGGAGCAAGAGCAGAGCUUUGACCCUCAACCUCCGAUGGAGCAACACUCCCCAAACCCCCAAACCCCAUUUUACAGCAGCGUUCUCAUGGGAUACACAAAGAUGGCUCAGCCUGGACUACUUCAGCUUUCCUACAGCCUGAUAUUUAAGCCUGCAGAGCUUAAAUAAACGCCGUGGCCGUGUCUCUGACACCGGGCAGCGGGGAUGGGAAGGGACGAGCCGGCAGCGGGGGCCGGGAGCGGUGACGCAGCAGCCUCUGACGCUGCUCCGGUGUCUGGCAGACGUGUGGCAGCGCUGGCAAGAGCAGGAAUGCGACGCAAAACACAAGGGAUGGGAGGGGGAUGAGACCUCGGUACCUGGUUCCUGUCCCUUUUAUCCUCUCUGCUGCAAAACAGCAGCAGACUUUACCUCACACACCUAUGAGAAGAUGCAGCUGCUGAAUGUGAUGUCUCGGCAGGAGGAAUCCCAAAAACCAGGCACCUGGGGUGGGGGGGAGCAAGGUGGUAGCAGCACCCUCCCGUUCCAGCCCCCUCCCCAUGCCAUCUCGGCCCACUCUCAGCUCUAUUAAAUGAUAACGACUGUCACAGCGACGUUGCUGUGAGAGUCACACAACCAAGGACACGCUGUCCUGAUGCCACGUCCCCUGCCCCCCAAGGCUGGGCCACCCCAGCCCCAGGGAGGGAAGAGGGGCUGCCCCCUGCCCCUUUCCCUGCCCCAGGCUGGUGACUGGGGGACCAGGAUCCCCCAACCAGCACCAGGAGCUUCUUAAGCUGCCCCUCCCAGGGGCUGAAGACAUGAAACCAGCCGUUCCAGUUAUCUGUCCCAGUCCAGCCUGUCCCCCUAAACCUUCCCAGUAACCCUCCCUAGUAUCCCUUCCUAGCCCAGCCUUUCCCAGUAAACCUUCCCAGUAACCCCUUCCCAGUCCAGCCCU